rnacentral:rRNA from 1 species
GGUAACGGCUCACCAAGGUGACGAUCAGUAGCCGACCUGAGAGGGUGAUCGGCCACAUUGGAACUGAGACACGGUCCAAACUUCUACGGAAGGCAGCAGUAAGGAAUCUUGCACAAUGGGGGAAACCCUGAUGCAGCAACGCCGCGUGAACGAUGAAGGCCUUAGGGUUGUAAAGUUCUGAUCUGUGGGAAGAAGAAGUGACGGUACCACAGGAGAAAGCCCCGGCUAAAUACGUGCCAGCAGCCGCGGUAAUACGUAUGGGGCAAGCGUUAUCCGGAAUUAUUGGGCGUAAAGAGUGCGUAGGUGGUUACCUAAGCGCAAGGUUUAAUCUUGAGGCUCAACCUCAUUCUGCCUUGCGAACUGGGCUACUUGAGUACAGGAGGGGAAAGCGGAAUUCCCAGUGUAGCGGUGAAAUGCGUAGAUAUUGGGAAGAACACCGGUGGCGAAGGCGGCUUUCUGGACUGUAACUGACACUGAGGCACGAAAGCGUGGGGGAGCAAACAGGAUUAGAUACCCUGGUAGUCCACGCCGUAAACGAUGAGCACUAGUUGUUGGGUACGAAUGUAUUCAGUGACGCAGU